GGUCUGUUUGUGUUUAAUGGUACGUUUUGAGUUAGGGUCAUGAUGUAGUGUGAUUUGAUAUCUGUCCAUGUGUUUCAUCACAUCCAUCAGAUCCAUCUACUCGAAUGCCUUUUAUCAUCGGAGUGGUCGUGUUCUCUCUGACUCUGCUGUUGGUGAUCACUGCUCUUUACUUCUACUGUAAGGCAAGCAGGCGGUCAGAA